UAUGCAUCAAGGGGGGAAAACCUCUAGAUCUAAGAAUAUUACAAUUAGUAAUGUAAGAAUUACUUAGUCUUCAAUUGCACAGCAUAUUUGUCUUAAAUGAGUUGUUUGGCCUUCUCCUACAUGUUAUUUCAGGAAGGAACCAUGAGAAAGUUCUGUUUAGUGGUCUGUGGUCACCCAAUUACAAAGAUAGUUGACGAAUUUAUUUCCUCUAGACUUCUGUUACAUCCAAGGAUGUGUCAGAUUUCCUGCCAGCUAGUGGACUUGAGUUUUUGCAGGAAAACUUUCCUUAAAAAUACCCCAUUUAGGCUGCAGUCUCAAGACAGCAUUCUAUCUUCUGUCUUCCUCCCUUCCUUCCCUUUCAGCGAUCCGUCUUGUCAGUUGCAAGAACAGUAGAGCACUUCUAGCUCAGUUUGAGAGUGUCAUUAAAGCAGGAAGUGAGGGACCGCAUGGGCAGCAGGCACUGCACACAAGGGUCAAUUUGAUUUAGUAGAAAAGGAGAGUUUGACAGUACAAAACAGGCCUUGUUGCUUAAGAGAGUGCCAUCAGUCCAUCCACACAGUGUCAGACAUUGUGCUGCUGCUCAGCCCUCAGAGAACAGCCAGAUUACAGCACUAGACUCUCUUAAGUCUCUUACAUCUGGAACUCCCAAACAAAGGCUUUCAGAAAUCACUCCAUCCCAGAAACCAGAGCGAGACAUUUUUCAUCUGACCCUUUUUCGGGAAAUGUGAGAAAAGAUGAGCUAAGUGACAUGCUAGUUCUUUCUUUCCAUGUCUUUGGCGCUGACCCUGUGAUAUGGGUCAUUUAAUGCAUGAAGGAGUGAGAAGUUCCAUGUGUGAGAAGUUUGGCUGCCUCUCCUGAGUCACUUGGACUGAUCUUAGAUGCGCGCAGGACUACAUUUUCUUAAUUAAGUGGACUUCUUAUCAUAUCUCUGGGAAAGGCUUGAUUGGAGUAGUAUGCAGCAGCCAGUAGUCUCCUGCAGUAUGCCAGCAGAGGAAAUCGAGAGUGUGUCUCUUCCUGUGGGUUGGAAAAGCUACAUAUCACCUGAGGGACGGAAAUACUAUGUCAACACAAGCACUAAAGAGACAACGUGGGAACGGCCAAGCACAUCCACCACCAGCCCAAAGGCUUCUGGGUCUCACCAACACUCAGUGAAUGGACGUCAGCUUCAUGGAGCCUCUGGACAUGUGCUGGAGCAUCCAGAUGUGUACCUGAGGAAGACCAGCCUCAGCAACCAGAUACAGUCCCAUUCUGAGGUAUCACCAUCAUAUACACACAGACACACAUAUAUAUAUCCGAAUAAGGCAUUAUAUACAGUAACUCUAAUCUUUUCUGUGGAAAAUCUGUGAAAUGAUUCCCAAUGUGAAGUGCAAAUAACUUGCAAAUACCAAAUAAUUCGGUCUUCCAUUGCUACUUGGAUUCGGACAUAAAUAUAUGAGUCAGUAGAUCUGGUGCCAUCUGCGCCAAUCUGGGGACAGUAACAGUUAAAGAAACUGGCGAAACAGGGCCAAGUAAAACCCUCCCUAUCCCACGUGAUCGACUAACAGCCAGACAAGGGCAGCUCAUGUCAUCAGCAAAUGGGAGCAGCAAGGAGUAGGCCAUAUGGGCAGCCCAGUUCUGGAUCCUUGUACGCGGUUAGAGUUUGAUCUUAAGCCAGGAUUGGAAAGGUGUUGGGUUUAAGUGGAGACGGGAAGGGUUAGACGGAGAAGACGAGAUACACUGGGAGAGUCUGGGGUGCAGAACUGUUAGCAAACAGGACCGGGCGAGCGGCGAGGAACGGAACCGUAGGUUGCGGGCCUGCGCCGACAUGUUCUGCAGGACGGUAAGACAGAAAGUCAGGUUUUGCAUGUUCGUUAGCUCCUAGUGCUGUGCAUGCUGGCUCUUUGGCCAUGUUUUUUUAUUGGUAAGAUGGAGUGUGUGUAAAUAGGUGUACAGACGCUCAGCACAUAAUGCAAACACACGCGCUAUGCUAGUACAGUUAGGCACAGAGGGGAGGCAGUGUAGUUAGAUGCAUGCUGGGAGAUGUUUUCUUUUACACGCUAAGCACACAGUCUCUAACACCUGCUCACACAAGGAUGGUGAUGCUGCGUCUGCAGCUUUAAAUAAAGCACAUACACACACUCACGCUCUCCAGCCUUGGACACACACGCACCUCUCUCGUAGCUCUAACACUGAUGCAAAAUGAAUACAGAUACCUUGAAGCAUCAGCCAGUCUGAAAGAUAAGCUCAUACAUGCACACACGCGUGGUGAGAAAUGGCUUUGUUUUUCGCAGGUCAUGUGGUUUGUCUCUGCUGACAGUGUGCUGUUGUUUGCAGCUUACCUCCAAUGAUAAUUAGCCCCAUUUCACCCCUCCUCCCUCUCUCUCCUCCUCUCUCCUCCCCUCCUCUCUGCUCAAACACACAAACGCUGUAGAGAAGGAAGGGGGCGUGGUGCCGUUUGUGUAAAUCAUUUGCCUCCUAUCAUUUUAACACUCUGUUCUCUCCUAUUUUUAACGCUCUUUGGUUUAUUUUUAGUUAUUCAUAUUGUUAUUUAAAUUAGCAGUGUUUGAUAAGUCACAAAUUACUAUUACUGUCGCUCUAGAUAUCGAACUUUGGCUCAUUGCUCAUCUGUGCAUGAUACCGUCAUCAUUAAGAUUGUCGAGGAGAUUUGUGUUAUUACUUUUCUGAGACAUCACACUUACAAUCUUUACACCAGCGGAACAAUUAAGAGGGUUAAAAAUCCCACUGACUUGAAGGAGGGAAUCGAGUCUUGAUAUCUCCAGAAUAUCAUAGAGACUGGGGGGUGGGCUCUUUUGACUUGGACCAGUAAGCAGCUGCAUAGCAACCACUCAGAACACCCUAGCAUCCGCAUAACAGCAUGCUAAGUGCUGUUUUCUCUGCUGUUCUCUACAAUCUUUCUUAGGCAUAUGCAGUUCUUUAUAGAUUUUCUUUGUUGUCUUCCUGUUUUCUUGAGUGAAUUCGACAAAGAAAUGUCUAACCAGUAUUGUACUCCAAAAUCAAGAGAGAAAGUAAAAUUAUAUUUGUUUUAAAUUUUGGGGGUUAUUUUAUUUGUUUGCUUGUUUGUUUUUCAUUGGGACUUUUCAUGGCAAUUACGCGCAUUUACCCCCAAAUUCUCAUUACUUUUCUGUAAGAGAAAAACAUAUUUUACAAAAAUUUCAUUACAGUAACAAAAUCACCCUGACAC
ensembl:lncRNA